AGGAUAUGCAUGAAUUACAGCUAUUCGUGUCCAGGAUCUUCUCUUUGCUGCUGUGGGUUGUUUACAGCCGGGUCCAUGAUCUCUGAAUGACUCCUGUGCGGAAGGGAAAAAAAGAAAAUUAUGAGGCAGCUGUUUGUGAGUAAAGACGUAUCAGAUGUGUGUUACGUCAACCACAGGCUCGCCAGAGCUGUCAUCACUUGGCUGCAAGAGUCAGACGUAAAGCUGUGAGCAUAGACAACAGCCAGCAAAGUGCAUAAGAAGCCACAGUCCUGACUUCAGGCUCACUGGGAUAGAUCUCAUAUGGAAGGUAUUCGUCCAAGACACAGGAGAGCCUGGAGUGAUUGUCAGCAAGAAAAUACAGGGAGCCUAAAGUUCUUCACAAGCCAUUGGAAUGUAGCAAUGCGGCACUUCUUGGUGGGUGACGGGACAUGGCAACAACCCAGCACACAAGAACAAAAGGAGGGAGAAGAAAUAUUGGUGAGGGCCAUUGGGAAACAUCCCCUGUUCUUCCAGAGGAGCCAUAGAAUCUGUAAUGUCUAAGCACAGCAAGCAGGAUGUAUUUUUUUAAUUAAAAAAAAUCCUUGGUAAAUUGUACUGGACUCCAUUUUUCUACUUCGGAAGGAUAAAGGGCCAGGAUUUGAUGGCAGUGGAUCCUUGGAAUCUCCAGAUUUGAUGCUUAGAACACCAAUAUAUUUCCCUUGAUGAAUUUGGGGCUGGAGCACACUGAAUACAAAUAUUUAUCAAAAUAAUCUCCUUAGAAAAGGGUCACCAUGGAAGAGAAACAGCCAAGCUCUUGGCCAUAUACUUUGCAUUUGUAAUCAUGAAUGUGAAGCAAU